AUACGGAGGAUGCGAGCGUUAUCCGGAUUUAUUGGGUUUAAAGGGAGCGUAGGUGGGAUAUUAAGUCAGCUGUGAAAGUUUGGGGCUCAACCUUAAAAUUGCAGUUGAUACUGGUUUCCUUGAGUACGGUAUAGGUGGGCGGAAUUCGUGGUGUAGCGGUGAAAUGCUUAGAUAUCACGAAGAACUCCGGUCGCGAAGGCAGCUCACCGGGCCGGAACUGACACUGAUGCUCGAAAGUGCGGGUAUCAAACAGGAUUAGAUACCCUGGUAGUCCGCACAGUAAACGAUGAAUACUCGCUGUUUGCGAUACACCGUAAGCGGCCAAGCGAAAGCGUUAAGUAUUCCACCUGGGGAGUACGCCGGCAACGGUGAAACUCAAAUGAAUCGACGGGG
rnacentral:rRNA from 1 species